GCGUAAUGGGCAGAAAACAGCCACCUUCUGGCUCCAAGCACAAAAUAGCUUCCUAAAUCAGCAGCGGUUUUUCCCCUCAUUUACUUUUGGAAGCCUGCUGACUUCUGAAUUGCUCAGCCCGCUGUAAACCAGGUAUGAAAUGCAAACGCCUCCCCUGCCCGCAGCACGGCCAAACCCUGCGGUGCGCUACCACCAGCGUGGUGGUGCCCUGCGCCGGGACACCGGGCUGAGGUGCGGCCAGGGGCUGCGCCAGGCACUGCCGGGGCUCAGGGGACGUUCUGCUCCUCGCAAUGUCACGGUGUGCACACCUGGGCUGGGGCUGCGGACCCAGCACAUCCCCGCAGCCAUGCUCAGAGCUGCAGAGGCUGCGGGCAGCCCAGCUCCAGGUGCAUCGGCCCCGGUGCCAAACGGGAGCACAAAGGCAGUUUAAGUUUUGCUUCCCCCUCCCAAAAGCAGUUUACAUUUUGUUUCCUCCACUUGCUCCUUCUGCAGGCGCUGGCGGGGAGGACGGAGCUGAGGCUGCAGCAGCGCGUGGGCUGAACGGGAGCCAGAAAUGCUAUGUUAUUGCAAGAAAAAGCAAACGUGGGUGCGUGCUUAGCACAAUGAAAGGCGCAGUGGAGAAGUCACUUUGUAAUUUUAGAAAAAUCUUGA
rnacentral:lncRNA from 1 species